rnacentral:lncRNA from 1 species
GGUAAUUUAACAAAUUUCAGAGGCCCAUUGAGCCUUGGCCCAACUGUGUGUCCGUACAUGCGUUAUGCGUUAUGGAUAUCCUUUAUGGUGCCUGCUUUCUACGCAUUCCGUGCAAUGCGUUUUCCUUUAUCUGAUAAAGCCUGCAGCUGAUAUUUAUUAAGAGAUUCUACUGGGCAUGAUGAAGGGAGAGGGAUGAAAAAAAGCAGUGAUGAAGAAGGAGAUGCCUUCUUUUGCCUGAGUGAAGGUGGCAGCAGCUAAGUCUGGGCCUGCAGGUAUAUCCUUUGUCAUAUUAUUUCUCAUGCCAUUUACUUUAUGAUUUUUAUUUUAGGGAAAUUUUAGAACAUGUAUAAUGAUAUCCAUAAAUCAUAAAGGUUGUUUUUAUCAUAAUUAAUAUUUUACCUUUGUUAUAAUAAGUAAUUUUUCCUUGAUGAAUCAGAAUUUAUCUUUGUUCACUUAGAAUUUAAAUUCCCUUUUGACUUUAAUAUAAAUUGAUAAUUGAAUAAAUAUAAAUUAGGAAAGACCUUUGUCAUUAAAGUGGCCAAACAAGGCGAAGGCACACAGUAAUUGAAUAACUCUUGAAAAGAAAUUAAAGUUUCAAAUUUGAAAUUUCGUGGAUCGAUUUCCCAAUCAACAAAAAUUCUUAAUUAAACAUACAGGAAAUAAAUCUUGAUGAACUACUUUGAUCCUUCACUUGCCAGCCUCUCACGCAGUAUUUUAGCUCCCAUAUACCUGCAACAAAGUAAAUCCAAAGUUCAUCAUGCAAAUUAUAUCACAAUCAAUUCCAAUGAGGUUGUGAACUUCUGAUUACCUUCCAAGCAUCAUGCAAGUGGCUUGAGGAUUGGUCCCAGGAGAGUUAUUAAAUGUGGAUCCAUCUAUAACCCUCAGAGCAUCCACUCCAAGAACCUUGUAAUUACUGUCAACGACGCUACCUACUUGGCAACCUCCAUGAUAAUGCCAUAUCGUCAUCACUGUGUCCUUACAAAAUUGUUCCAGGGACGUUGAUGUGUUUUGAUGUCUAGGUAACAAAUUUACUGGGGAACUUGCGGUCAUAUUCAGCAGUUGUGGGACUGACAAAUCAUCAUAUUUAAACUUGGAGAAAGGCUUGGAAUCAAUCACG